rnacentral:ncRNA from 1 species
CUGGUUGAUCCUGCCAGUAGUCAUAUGCUUGUCUGAGAGAUUAAGCCAUGCAUGUCUAAGUACAUACCUUAAAACGGUGAAACGGCGAAUGGCUCAUUAAAUCAGCUAUGGUUCCUUAGUUCGUAAAUGCUACAUGGAUAACUGUAGUAAUUCUAGAGCUUAUACAUGCCUUGAAUCCAUAGGACAGGGUUUUUACCAUAGGCCAGCUGUUGUAUAGGUCGAGAAAUAAGGAUACAUAAAGUAGGAAUAAAAGAGUGAAUAAAUAACGUAGUAAUUAAUUAAUUAAUUAAUUAAUAAUAAUAAUAUGAAUUGUUUGACUGUAAAUCAAAGCCAGAAUAGAGUUUUCAGUAAAUAUCACCAUUUCCAUUAUUUUCAUUAUAUUUGUGUGUGGGCUAUGAUACUGUCCAAGUGCCCAGACCGAAGCAGGUGGUUUACUUAGGGGGCCGCAUCCCAAGCCUUUGACAUAAAGGUCUGACCCACAUGGCAAUGGUGCAUCGUGAGGAAAUGCAGUCCCAUGGUAGCCGGUGACCAAGGAAUUGGUUCACACGCCAUUGGUUCCCUCGGGAUACUGGAGCCCAUGUG